UUUUGUGGUAUUUUCUUCCCCUUGCCGCUGCAACUUUUACAAAUCAUGAAUUGUUGAUGCAGGUUGAAGAGAAAAAAAGGAGAAAAUUGUUGUUGGGAGGCAAAAAUACUGACGAUGAGCUCUUAACCAGAUUAUCCGUCUGAAUAGUUUGUAUUCUUGCUAUACGACCUUGUUCGUUGCAUUCUUGGGUGUUUUGACAAGGAGCAAGUAAUGUUGGGAAUGGAAUAUUACGAUGAAAGCAUAUGCAAUAGUGCGUUGAAGUCAUUCCCUUCAGUUCUGAACUAGAGAGUGCAGCAGUAAAGAAAUGAAAGAAGCAUAAAGGAUGCAAAGUGAGCGUCUAUACACUUUUGGAAUUGGGAGACGACAAAGGUUCAAUCUUUUACUAUGUGUCAAGACAUCAUUUCCAAAUACAGAAGUAUUCUGUCCAUCCAAAUUCGUGCAUCUAGCCAAACAAUUCUUGAUGUUGCUUUGAGCUAGCUGCAUGGUUCAGAGAUGGUUCUUCAUUUCGGCUUCUCUUCAUUUGUGAUUGGCUGCUUCUUUCAGAGCUUAUGUGUGAGUUUCCCUCUUUUCAAAUUCCCCUCUGAACCUACUAAUUUGUUUGAUGGUAGAUGUGAGUGCCAUAUGGACACUCCAGUGUCCUGGUCAUUCUAAAUGCUUUGGGGGCGUUAACGUCUGUUUAAUUCAUUUAUUGUUCACAUGACGGCUUGCACAGCUCUUUGUGGUCAUUGCCUUCGAAGAUGGCACGAGAGCAGGCCGUCCACCACUGACAACUGGAGGACAGAUGCUUGCGUCGGUGGAACAACCAUCUCUGGAGACUGAGGGUGCCACCAUCGUGAGGCGACAGUCGCAUAGAGACGGCUGCACCGCUGGUAUGCACUGUUGCAUGCGAGGCGGGUAGAGCAAGGCCUGUUUUGGACGGAUUCAAGGCCCGCACCUUCUCCAUCUCUGCAUGGCACGGCCGCAGUUCCGUCUCACAACUACCAGCAGAGGAGACACAGAUUUGAGUUCACCACUACCUCAUCAUGUACAGUUGCUAGCUAUUUCAUCUCCUGUAUUGUGCUAGCUUGUUGUGGUGGAUUAAAUAUAUUGCUUUAACCCAAUUUGCAAAGCUGGAUUUCUGUUAGGAGGGGCAUCUACAGUGUUUCCUUAACAUCAGCUAGGGGAAGAGACCAUGGGAAGCAAGGGGAAAGUUUGGAAGUUGGUAAGUCAUUUACCAUAGCUCUCAACCAUGGCCUGGUAAUAGUCUUCUUGUUAUCUUUUUAUUUUCCAAUGAAAACCUGUGGGGGACGAUAAUAGUGGGAAAUUCUAAGUGUGUUUUGUUUACAGGCAUUGACAUGCAUAUCUUAUUUAAACCUUGAGGCUCUAAAGUCAUAAUAUGCAUAUCUUAUUGAAAACCUUGAGGCUCUAAAGCCCUACAUUCCAAAUUUCAACACAUGAAUUGUCUAGGAAGAUUUUGAACUAAGCAGAAAUCAAAUAAUAUUUUGAUGUAUCUCCUUUCAUCUAAAUAAAGAACAUGACAUUUCCUUUCUAGCAAAUUAAAUUGUAUCUUUGCAUUUCUGUAAUUUGUUCAGCCUGUGACUUUUGGUGUUUCUGUGAAGAUUUUCAAGUAUCACUUCCAAAUUUCAGAUCAUGAAUUGGCUAGGAGGAUUUCCAGCUAUGCAUAACUCAAACAAUAUUUGUAUUAUCUCUUUUUGUGGCAUUUUCUUCCCAGCAAAUAAAAUUGCAUCUUUACGGUUAUUCUGAAAAAUAAUUUUCUCCAUCUAUGUGGGAAUAUCUUCAGUCAUGUAGUAUUACUUACAUUUUGUGUUCUCUCUGUU